GACGAACGCUGGCGGCGUGCUUAACACAUGCAAGUCGAACGAAGUGGCGAACGGGUGAGUAACGCGUAAUCAACCUGCCCUUCAGAGGGGGACAACAGUUGGAAACGACUGCUAAUACCGCAUACUGAAGGAGGGGAGUGCGUCUGAUUAGCUAGUUGGAGGGGUAACGGCCCACCAAGGCGAUGAUCAGUAGCCGGUCUGAGAGGGUGAUCGGCCACAUUGGGACUGAGACACGGCCCAGACUCCUGCGGGAGGCAGCCGUGGGGAAUCUGCCGCAAUGGACGGAAGGCUGACGGAGCAACGCCGCGUGAGUGAUGACGGCCUUCGGGUUGUAAAGCUCUGUUAAUCGGGACGCCGUACCUAAAUAGAAAGCCACGGCUAACUACGUGCCAGCAGCCGCGGUAAUAC
rnacentral:rRNA from 1 species